rnacentral:rRNA from 1 species
AGGAAACUCUGACCGAGCAACGCCGCGUGAACGAUGAAGUAUUUCGGUACGUAAAGUUCUUUUAUUAGGGAAGAAUAAAUGAUGGAAAAAUCAUUCUGACGGUACCUAAUGAAUAAGCCCCGGCUAACUAUGUGCCAGCAGCCGCGGUAAUACAUAGGGGGCAAGCGUUAUCCGGAAUUAUUGGGCGUAAAGGGUGCGUAGGCGGUUAAAUAAGUUUAUGGUCUAAGUGCAAUGCUCAACAUUGUGAUGCUAUAAAAACUGUUUAGCUAGAGUAAGAUAGAGGCAAGUGGAAUUCCAUGUGUAGUGGUAAAAUGCGUAAAUAUAUGGAGGAACACCAGUAGCGAAGGCGGCUUGCUGGGUCUUUACUGACGCUGAGGCACGAAAGCGUGGGGAGCAAACAGGAUUAGAUACCCUGGUAGUCCACGCCGUAAACGAUGAGUACUAAACGUUGGGUAAAACCAGUGUUGAAGUUAACACAUUAAGUACUCCGCCUGAGUAGUACGUACGCAAGUAUGAAACUUAAAGGAAUUGACGGGACUCCGCACAAGCGGUGGAUCAUGUUGUUUAAUUCGAAGGUACCCGAAAAACCUCACCAGGUCUUGACAUGCUUCUGCAAAGCUGUAGAAACACAGUGGAGGUUAUCAGUUGCACAGGUGGUGCAUGGUUGUCGUCAGCUCGUGUCGUGAGAUGUUGGGUUAAGUCCCGCAACGAGCGCAACCCUUAUUGUUAGUUACCAGCACGUAAUGGUGGGGACUUUAGCAAGACUGCCAGUGAUAAAUUGGAGGAAGGUGGGGACGACGUCAAAUCAUCAUGCCCCUUAUGACCUGGGCUAC